rnacentral:tRNA from 1 species
GGGGCUCUAGCUCAGUGGCUGAGCACUGCCUGGCAUGCAGGAGGCCCUGGGUUCCAUCCCCAGCACCCCA